GCAAGUCGAACGAGAAGCACACUUCGGUGUGUGGAAAGUGGCGAACGGGUGAGUAAUACUUGGGAAUCUACCCUGAAGUGGGGGAUAACAGUUAGAAAUGACUGCUAAUACCGCAUAAUCCAUAUUGGGAAAGCUUUAGUGCUUUAGGAUGAGCCCAAGCCUGAUUAGCUUGUUGGUGCGGUAACGGCGCACCAAGGCGACGAUCAGUAGCCGACCUGAGAGGGUGAUC
rnacentral:rRNA from 1 species